AUGCACGCUGGCGGCGUGCCUAACCCAUGCCAGUCGAGCGAUUCUCUUCGGAGAAGAGCGGCGGACGGGUGAGUAACGCGUGGGUAACCUGCCCUGUACACACGGAUAACAUACCGAAAGGUAUGCUAAUACGAGAUAAUAUGCUUUUAUCGCAUGGUAGAAGUAUCAAAGCUUUUGCGGUACAGGAUGGACCCGCGUCUGAUUAGCUAGUUGGUAAGGUAACGGCUUACCAAGGCGACGAUCAGUAGCCGACCUGAGAGGGUGAUCGGCCACAUUGGAACUGAGACACGGUCCAAACUCCUACGGGAGGCAGCAGUGGGGAAUAUUGCACAAUGGGCGAAAGCCUGAUGCAGCAACGCCGCGUGAGCGAUGAAGGCCUUCGGGUCGUAAAGUUCUGUCCUCAAGGAAGAUAAUGACGGUACUUGAGGAGGAAGCCCCGGCUAACUACGUG
rnacentral:rRNA from 1 species